rnacentral:rRNA from 1 species
AUUGAACGCUGGCGGCAUGCUUUACACAUGCAAGUCGAACGCUAACAGGCCGCAAGGUGCUGACGAGUGGCGAACGGGGGAGUAAUGCAUCGGAACGUGCCCAGUCGUGGGGGAUAACGCAGCGGGGCUGCGCUAAUACCGCAUACGAGCUAUGGAUGAAAGCGGGGGAACGUAAGGGCUCGCGCGAUUGGAGCGGGCGAUGUCAGAUUAGGUAGUGGGUGGGGUAAAGGCUCACCAAGCCAACGAUCUGUAGCCGGUCUGAGAGGACGAACCGCCACACUGGGACUGAGACACGGCCCAGCCUCCUACGGGAGGCAGCAGUAGGUAAUUUUGCACAAUAGGCGCAAGCCUGAUGCAGCAAUGCCGGGUGCAGGAUGAAGGCCUUCGUGUUGUAAACUGCUUUUGUACGGAACGAAACGGUCCCGGUGAAUACCUGGGGCUAAUGACGGUACCGUAAGAAUAAGCAUCGGCUAACUACGUGCCAGCCGCCGCCGUAACAC